rnacentral:rRNA from 1 species
GUGAGUAACACGUGGGUAAUCUGCCUCAUACUUUGGGAUAAGCCUGGGAAACUGGGUCUAAUACCGGAUAUGACCAUGACGGGCAUCCGUUGUGGUGGAAAGUUCUGGCGGUAUGGGAUGUGCCCGCGGCCUAUCAGCUUGUUGGUGGGGUAAUGGCCUACCAAGGCGACGACGGGUAGCCGGCCUGAGAGGGUGACCGGCCACACUGGGACUGAGACACGGCCCAGACUCCUACGGGAGGCAGCAGUGGGGAAUAUUGCACAAUGGGCGCAAGCCUGAUGCAGCGACGCCGCGUGGGGGAUGACGGCCUUCGGGUUGUAAACCUCUUUCGCCAGGGACGAAGCGAGAGUGACGGUACCUGGAUAAGAAGCACCGGCUAACUACGUGCCAGCAGCCGCGGUAAUACGUAGGGUGCGAGCGUUGUCCGGAAUUAUUGGGCGUAAAGAGCUCGUAGGCGGUUUGUCGCGUCGGCCGUGAAAUCUGGAGGCUUAACCUUCAGCGUGCGGUCGAUACGGGCAGACUUGAGUUCGGUAGGGGAGACUGGAAUUCCUGGUGUAGCGGUGAAAUGCGCAGAUAUCAGGAGGAACACCGGUGGCGAAGGCGGGUCUCUGGGCCGAUACUGACGCUGAGGAGCGAAAGCGUGGGGAGCGAACAGGAUUAGAUAC